AAAAAUAUGGACAAGGCAUGGAAUUAAGUGUUGAAAGUGAGAUAUAGAAGGCAAAAUAGGUUAAGUAGUGGAAAAUAGUACAAUGUCGAUUACUAGUAUUUCGGUGUAAAAUUGAGUAUUUAUGGAUUUACCAAAUGUAAUCGAGGUAUGAUUAAGGUCUCAUUGAUGAUGUAAAAAUGGUUUUAGAACCAUUAGAUCAAUUCUUGAUGGGAGGUAUAAAUAAUCAGUGGUAUUGAUGCAAAGUCAAAACGAGCUUAGCAUAAGUGCGCUACGCUCGAUCGGGUAAGCAUAACUAUUGGGUAUGAAGUCAUAUGGACCUAAGGUUUGGUAUGAGUGUUUUACACAUAAGGAUAAUAGGCCUAGCAGAUGAUUAAGUCGAAAUUAUUGAAGUGAUAAGGUUUUCAUAAGUCAAAAGGUGAAAUGAUGAGAUGAAAGGUGUCAACUUUUGACAAUAAGGCUAAAUCAUUGAAAAUAAGGAAUUUUCAUCAAACCUUAUCACUUUGCACGACCAUUAUUCUGAAAAACAGAGAGAAAAGAAAACCAAAAACCAUUUCUUGGCUGGUUUGAAGAAAUUCUAAGGAGAUCCAAGUGAAAGCAAAGCCAAAGAAGUAGAUUAAGCUUAGUUCUAGCAUUUUUAUGAUAUUUCUUGGGGUUUCCAAGUGGUUUGAGGUUUAGAAAAGCUUGAAGAGAUUGUUUUCGCCGAAAAGUUGCUCGGUAGAGAAAGAAAUAUGUGAAUGAUAUGAGGAGAACUGAAGCAUGGUCCUGACCCUGAUUUGUACAUAUGAACACAUCGACCUUUUUGUGGGUUAUUUCAGUUAUCAGUGAGAUGUUUGUAAUAAAGUGUGAAGUUAUGUUUUGAAAAUAAAUUGGGUUAUUUAAUACUUAUGUAUAAUAUGUUUGAGACACACUUUAUGUUUAAUGUAAAUAAGGUGAAAUAAGUUUUCAAGUUUUAAAAAAAAAAAAAAAAAAAAAAAAAAAUGUCCAGACUUCCGCAGAAAUAAAUUAUGAUAUAGUUUUAAAACGUAACACCUCAAAUAUGGUUUUUAACUAAAAUAAGUGAGGG